UACAAGUCGGGUGGUGGAGUGGA
rnacentral:piRNA from 1 species